ACCAAGUUCAAGAAGUUUAUGAGGUUAAAACCUGAUAUUUGUUUAAUGUGACAAAUAUUGAAUGAUGUCCAGAGGCGCCUGUUCAGUAGUGUUGGUAUUAUUGACGUGUUUUCGUGUAGUCAGUUCAACCUGUGACAAAGAUAUACUUAAUAAGAUGAUAGCAAAAUCUGAGAACUUGACAAUUCAGGACGAUGUAAAGGCACUGGCAAAAUGUAUAAUACGCCUGGUUGAUGCUGUGUUCCCUUCCACAUCUAUCCAGGGAGAAAGAUUACCCAUGUGGGUUGCCAUGGCAAGGUUAAGAAAACCACAACCGCACAAAAAAGAAUGGACGUAAUAGAAGAGUUGAGAUCGACAAGCAGAGAUGUUACAGUUUCUUUGCUGUUUUUCAUAAAGUUGUUACAGAUAAAUAGAAUUUUUAAAGUUACAGACUUCGAUCGAUUUGUUUUUACAUGCAAUGUUAUUUAAAAGCAAUGUAUAAUUAUGUUAUAUAAACUACUUUAUACUAAC
rnacentral:sRNA from 1 species